rfam:Actinospica robiniae DSM 44927 genomic scaffold ActroDRAFT_ARA.1, whole genome shotgun sequence.
CUUGGCCCGGCUCCUCCCCCCCGAGCCGCGCCAGGGUGACGACCCCCGCUCUCCCCCCCCGGCGGGGGUCGUCCUUU